AAUAUGUUUGAAUUUUAAUCCUUCGAUCGUGGAUUCUUGAAAAUCUAUUGUUAUUCUAUUGUAUCUCGCUCACCGUCACAAUCAGUCUCAGAGUAUGAUACAGAAUCAAACACGGAAUCAACCACAAAACAGACAACCAUAUCAAAAACAACAACCGUACCAAAAUUGACAGCUAUACAGAAAAUAUUGCAAACCAUAAGAGUACC